UCCCCAAGUCAAAUGUGAAAAGAGAUUAUUUUUCACUCCCAAUAAUUGAUCAGAUUGCAAACCAGAUGCUAUGAAAGGAUGCUCAACAGACAACCAUACAAAUGAUUAAGAGGUUUUAGAGUAAAAAAUACAUCAGAGCCAUUCAUUAAGUGGGACAGAAAUGCACCAGAAUAAUAACUUUGCAAGAAGAAACAUUUUCAUGCAGUAAAAGACACCAAUAUACUUUGGUUGUCCACAAGAUUUUGUUUCUAGCCACCAGAAAGUUUAGUAGUCCUCAAAUAUUCUUCACCUCUUUCAUUUAGCUCCAUUUUCUCGUUACUACAUUCCUAUAUUUUGCAAAUUACUUCUUUUAAUCUUUGUCAUAUUCUUUCUAAACCAGAAUAUAGUUGUUCUCUUUUACUUUGUCAACAUCCUCUUUACUAUAUUGUCUACUUCAUUUUCAUUUUUCUUUCUCAAUUUCUUAUCAGGAGUCCCAUUACAGAAGACAAUUGUUGAAUGCCUUGGAGAAUUCUUGUCGGAAGAGUCAGCAAUUACACUGCAGCCACAUAAUAGUUAAGACUCCAGAAAAGUUGAUCAAAUGGUCCAAAUCCACCUUAUUCAGAAAGUUACUUGUGUUUAGAGGAAUUAAUUAACAUCUUCUCUAAGAUAUAAAACAAUCAGCUUACAACAUUGACUAAAAUGAAUCACCAAAUCCACCUUAUUCAGAAAGUUACUUGUGUUUAGAGGAAUUAAUUAACAUCUUCUCUAAGAUAUAAAACAAUCAGCUUACAACAUUGACUAAAAUGAAUCAUGUGAGUAACUUCUUCCAGCAUCAUUUCAUAAUUAUUCUGACAAUUGAACAGUCACAAAAUCACAGCAAGUCUUAGGUAACUUGAAAAGACAACAUUGCAGCAAUGAGGUAGUUCUACACAACUUUGAGGUUGUGGAAUCAAUAGAAGGAAAAUAUCUACACAUGCGGC
rnacentral:lncRNA from 1 species